UACAACGGAGGUGCAAGGGCUGUCGCUGACCCUCAAAGGUCGUGCACGCCCGAGCGCGCUCUCACACAAUCCAUCUCACCCCUUUGUGCAUCACCGCGUGGGUCCUCCCCCUUGCGGGAGGGCCUGCGUUUUCACAUAAAACUCGAUACAGUGUAGAAUGUUCAUUUUUGCGGUCACACGCAAUCAAUACAACUUUCAACAACGGAUCUCUUGGCUCUCGCAUCGAUGAAGAACGCAGCGAAAUGCGAUACGUAAUGUGAAUUGCAGAAUUCAGUGAAUCAUCGAAUCUUUGAACGCACCUUGCGCCCCUUGGCAUUCCGAGGGGCACACCCGUUUGAGUGUCGUGAAAUUCUCAAAAACCCUUUCCUUUGAUCGGAUUUUUGGACUUGGAGGUUCAAUGCUUGCCUUCAGCUUUUGAAAGCGAGCUCCUCUCAAAUAAAUUAGUGGGGUCCGCUUUGCUGGUCCUUGACGUGAUAAGAUGUUUCUACGUUUUCGACUUGGCACUGUCCUUUUGGAUCCUGCUUCUAACCCGUCCGUCUCACGGACAACGAUGGUGCUCCGCUCACCGCCACUUACAUCGGCGGGGGAGGCUGGACCCACCAAAACGAACCUUGACCUCAAAUCGGGUGAGACUACCCGCUGAACUUAA
rnacentral:rRNA from 1 species